AACGAACGCUGGCGGCAGGCUUAACACAUGCAAGUCGAACGGUUGUAGCAAUACAGCAGUGGCAGACGGGUGAGUAACACGUGGGAACCUUCCUAGGGGUACGGAACAACUCAGGGAAACUUGAGCUAAUACCGUAUACGUCCGUGAGGAGAAAGAUUUAUCGCCCUUAGACGGGCCCGCGUCGGAUUAGGUAGUUGGUGGGGUAACGGCCUACCAAGCCUACGAUCCGUAGCUGAUCUGAGAGGAUGAUCAGCCACACUGGGACUGAGACACGGCCCAGACUCCUACGGGAGGCAGCAGUGGGGAAUCUUGGACAAUGGGCGCAAGCCUGAUCCAGCCAUGCCGCGUGAGUGAAGAAGGCCUUAGGGUUGUAAAGCUCUUUUGCCAGGGACGAUAAUGACGGUACCUGGAGAAUAAGCCCCGGCAAACUUCGUGCCAGCCGCCGCGGUAACAC
rnacentral:rRNA from 1 species